CCUACGGGCGGCAGCAGUGGGGAAUAUUGGACAAUGGAGGAAACUCUGAACCAGCAACGCCGCGUGAAUGAUGAAGGUCUUCGGAUUGUAAAGUACUUUUCUAAGGGAAGAAGAUAGUGACGGUACCUCAGGAAUCAGCCUCAGCUAACUACGUGCCAGCAGCCGCGGUAAUACGUAGGAGGCAAGCGUUAUCCGGAAUGACUGGGGGUAAAGGGCGCGUAGGCGGUUUGGCAAGUUAGUAGCGGAAACCCCGGGCGCAACCUCGGAACUACUACUAAAUCUGUCGGACUUUAGUGCAGAAGGGGCGAUUGGAAUUCCUAGUGUAGCGGUGGAAUGCGUAGAUAUUGGGAGGAAAACCAGUGGCGAAGGCGAAUUGCUGGACUGUAACUGACACUGAGGCACGAAAGCGUGGGGAGCAAACAGGAUUAGAUACCCCUGUAGUC
rnacentral:rRNA from 1 species